rnacentral:rRNA from 1 species
ACCCUGGCGGCGAGCGGCGAACGGGUGAGUAACACAUCGGAACGUACCCUGUCGUGGGGGAUAACGAAUCGAAAGAUUCGCUAAUACCGCAUACGACCUGAGGGUGAAAGCGGGGGAUCGCAAGACCUCGCGCGAGAGGAGCGGCCGAUGGCGGAUUAGCUAGUUGGUGGGGUAAAGGCCCACCAAGGCGACGAUCCGUAGCGGGUCUGAGAGGACGGCCCGCCACACUGGGACUGAGACACGGCCCAGACUCCUACGGGAGGCAGCAGUGGGGAAUUUUGGACAAUGGGGGCAACCCUGAUCCAGCCAUUCCGCGUGAGUGAAGAAGGCCUUCGGGUUGUAAAGCUCUUUCGGCAGGAACGAAACGGCGGGCUCUAACAUAGCCUGUCAAUGACGGUACCUGAAGAAGAAGCACCGGCUAACUACGUGCCAGCAGCCGCGGUAAUACGUAGGGUGCGAGCGUUAAUCGGAAUUACUGGGCGUAAAGCGUGCGCAGGCGGGCUUUGUAAGACAGGUGUGAAAUCCCCGGGCUUAAACCUGGGAACU